rnacentral:rRNA from 1 species
CAGGCCUAACACAUGCAAGUCGAACGAGAAGCCGGGCUUCGGCCCGGUGGACAGUGGCGCACGGGUGAGUAACGCGUGGGAACCUGCCCAUGAGUGGGGAAAAACGGUUGGAAACGACCGCUAAUUCCGCAUACGCCCUACGGGGGAAAGGCUUCGGCCGCUCAUGGAUGGGCCCGCGUCCGAUUAGCUUGUUGGUGAGGUAAUGGCUCACCAAGGCGACGAUCGGUAGCUGGUCUGAGAGGACGAUCAGCCACAUUGGGACUGAGACACGGCCCAGACUCCUACGGGAGGCAGCAGUGGGGAAUAUUGGACAAUGGGCGAAAGCCUGAUCCAGCCAUGCCGCGUGAGUGAUUUGAAGGCCCUAGGGUUGUAAAGCUCUUUCGGCGGGGAAGAUGAUGACGGUACCCGCAGAAGAAGCCCCGGCUAACUCCGUGCCAGCAGCCGCGGUAAUACGGAGGGGGCUAGCGUUGCUCGGAAUCACUGGGCGUAAAGCGAGCGUAGGCGGCCGCGCAAGUCGGGGGUGAAAGCCCGGGGCUCAACCCCGGAACUGCCCUCGAAACUGCGUGGCUAGAGGCCGGGAGAGGAGAGUGGAAUUCCCAGUGGAGAGGUGAAAUUCGCAGAUAUUGGGAGGAACACCGGUGGCGAAAGCGGCUCUCUGGAACGGUUCUGACGCUGAGGCUCGAAAGCGUGGGGAGCAAACAGGAUUAGAUACCCUGUAGUCCACGCCGU